AGUGAACGCUGGCGGCGUGCCUAAUACAUGCAAGUCGAACGGAGUGGCGCACGGGUGAGUAAUGUAUAGCUAAUCUGCCCUACACUAGAGGACACCAGUUGGAAACGAAUGCUAAUACUCUAUAGUGUAGGAUGAGGCUAUAUUGUAUCAGCUAUUUGGUGAGGUAAUGGCACACAAAGGCUAUGACGCAUAACUUGUCUGAUAGGAUGAUCAGUCACACGGGAAGUGAGACACGGUCCAGACACCUACGGGAGUGAGCAGUAGGGAAUAUUGCUCAAUGGGGGAAACCCUGAAGCAGCAACGCCGCGUGGAGGAUGACACUUUUCGGAGCGUAAACUCCUUUUGUUAGGGAAGCGGUACCUAACGAAUAAGCACCGGCUAACUCCGUGCCAGCAGCCGCGGUAAUAC
rnacentral:rRNA from 1 species